AUUGAACGCUGGCGGCAGGCCUAACACAUGCAAGUCGAGCGGAUGAGUGGAGCUUGCUCCAUGAUUCAGCGGCGGACGGGUGAGUAAUGCCUAGGAAUCUGCCUGGUAGUGGGGGACAACGUUUCGAAAGGAACGCUAAUACCGCAUACGUCCUACGGGAGAAAGUGGGGGAUCUUCGGACCUCACGCUAUCAGAUGAGCCUAGGUCGGAUUAGCUAGUUGGUGGGGUAAAGGCCCACCAAGGCGACGAUCCGUAACUGGUCUGAGAGGAUGAUCAGUCAACCGGGACCUGAGACCCGUUCCGACCUCCAACGGAGGGCAGCGUUGGGAAAAAUUGGACAAUGGGGGAAGGCCUGAUCCAGCCAGGCCGCGGGGGGAAAGAAGGUCUUCGAAUUGUAAAGCACUUUAAGUUGGGAGAAAGGGCAGUAAGUUAAAACCUUGCUGUUUUGACGUUACCAACAGAAUAAGCACCGGCAAACUUCGU
rnacentral:rRNA from 1 species